UCAAUUUUGUUUGGCUAUUUAAGGGAACUCAGGACAUAUUAUUGAUAUUGAUUUGGAGAGGACAAAUAAAACUUACCUUGGGAUGUCUAGCAUUGUUGGGAGAAGUAGAAUGUAUCCAUGAGAAGAGUUGGAUUUGUUAAAAAAAAAGCCCAGAAUUUAUUCAAGUGAAUAAGAGUACUUCUGAAAGAACCGGGUACUAUCCAAGAUCAUUGGUGACUUGACCAUGAGUCCUUCAAGUAGUUGAUAUGAAGUCGAGAAAGGCUCUACUUUCUUCUUUUGGUGGUCUGGUGCUCUUUGGAGACAUGGCUGGUUGUUCCUUUGACUUUCAGCAAGGGAUGACAGUGCCCUUUGCUCCAGGCCUGAUGCCAGACAUGAUAAAAUAA
rnacentral:lncRNA from 1 species